CGCCGGAAGCGGUUCCGGCCCGACUCACGACCCGGGGGGACCGGCCCGACUCCGGCGCGCGCGCGGCGGAGGACGAGGAAGAGCAGUGGCGAGGCAGAUCUUGCCCCGCGACCGCCGCCGUCUUGUAGGUUGGCCCCAGGAGGCUCCCGGGAACGCCUGUCAGUGCAAUGCUGCCCCAUGUGAUGUUCACCUUCCGGCGCCUGGGCUGUGCCUUGGCCUCCUGCCGGCUGGCUCCUGCGAGACACAGAGGAAGUGGCCUUCUGCACACAGCCCCGGUGGCCCGCUCAGACAGGAGCGCCCCGGUGUUCACCCGCGCCCUGGCCUUUGGGGACAGAACCGCCCUGGUUGACCAGCAUGGCCGCCACACGUACAGGGAGCUUUAUUCCCGCAGCCUUUGCCUGUCCCAGGAGAUCUGCAGACUCCGCGGGUGUGUCGGCGGGGACCUCCGGGGGGAGAGGGUCUCCUUCCUGUGCGCUAACGACGCCUCCUACGUGGUGGCCCAGUGGGCCUCGUGGAUGAGCGGCGGUGUGGCAGUCCCCCUCUACAGGAAGCACCCCGCAGCCCAGCUGGAGUAUGUCAUCUGCGACUCCCAGAGCUCUGUGGUCCUUGCCGGCCAGGAGUACCUGGAGCUCCUGAGCCCGGUGGUCAGGAAGCUGGGGGUCCCGCUGCUGCCGCUCACGCCAGCCGUCUACACUGGAGCGGUAGAGGAACCAGCAGAGGUCCCGGUCCCAGAGCAGGGGUGGAGAGACCAGGGCGCCAUGAUCAUCUACACCAGUGGGACCACGGGGAGGCCCAAGGGCGUGCUGAGCACGCACCGAAACAUCAGGGCUGUGGUGACCGGGCUGGUCCACAAGUGGGCAUGGACCAAAGACGACGUGAUCCUCCACGUGCUUCCGCUGCACCAUGUCCACGGUGUGGUCAAUGCGCUGCUGUGUCCUCUCUGGGUGGGAGCCACCUGUGUGAUGAUGCCUGAAUUUAGCGCCCAGCAGGUUUGGGAAAAGUUCUUAAGUUCUGAAACACCGCGAAUCAAUGUCUUCAUGGCAGUGCCUACAAUAUACACCAAGCUGAUGGAGUACUAUGACAGGCAUUUUACCCAGCCGCACGCCCAGGAUUUCUUGCGUGCAGUUUGUGAAGAAAAAAUUAGGCUCAUGGUCUCAGGCUCAGCUGCCCUGCCCAUCCCGGUGCUGGAGAAGUGGAAGAAGAUCACGGGCCACACCCUGCUGGAGCGGUACGGCAUGACUGAGAUCGGCAUGGCUCUGUCCGGGCCCCUGACCGCCGCGGCACGCCUGCCAGGCUCUGUGGGGACCCCGCUGCCCGGAGUACAGGUGCGCAUUAUCUCAGAAAAGCCACAGAAGGAAGGCUGCUCCUACACCGUCCACGCAGAGGGAGACGAGAGGGGGACCAAGGUGACCCCAGGGUUUGAAGAGAAGGAGGGGGAGCUGCUGGUGAGGGGACCCUCCGUGUUUCGAGAGUACUGGAAUAAACCAGAAGAAACUAAAAGUGCAUUCACCCUGGAUGGCUGGUUUAAGACAGGGGACACCGUGGUGUUUAAGGACGGCCAGUACUGGAUACGAGGCCGGACCUCAGUGGACAUCAUCAAGACCGGAGGCUACAAGGUCAGCGCCCUGGAGGUGGAGUGGCACCUGCUGGCCCACCCCAGCAUCACAGAUGUGGCGGUGAUUGGAGUUCCGGAUAUGACAUGGGGCCAGCGGGUCACUGCUGUGGUGACCCUCCGAGAAGGACACUCACUGUCCCACAGGGAGCUCAAAGAGUGGGCCAGAGAUGUCCUGGCCCCGUACUCAGUGCCCUCGGAGCUCGUGCUGGUGGAGGAGAUCCCGCGGAACCAGAUGGGCAAGAUCGACAAGAAGGCACUCAUCAGACGCUUCCACCCCUCGUGACCCACGCACCAGGGGCUGGGCACUCGGACUGCGGGUCUGGCGGGGAGCAGCAGACGUCUCCCUCACACCGAGCACCGCGGGGGCCUGUCCGAGACCUGGCCUCCCCUAAGCCUGAAUGCCCCAAAUCAGGUCACGUAGAAUCAAAAACUGUUUGGGAUGAAAUCACCACGUGAGGUCCCCAGCCUUGGGCCAGUUGUUGCAGCUCAAGGAGACCGUCCCUGGUGUCACCUUCACCGCCGACCUAGCCCAUGCAGCACGAUGCAGCCACGCUCUGGUGUUGCCGGCCCCACGUGCCCACGUCUUCGUGCACACAGUCUGCCAGCGCCCAGCCAGGCCCCACCAGCCGAGAACAAGCUCAUCCCGGAGGGAACUCAUCCGCUCCUCCCUCCCCAUUAAAGCACAGUUUAUUCCCCGUCUUGGUCUUUCGUGCUGACCUGGCCUCUGGAGACACAGGCGGGGGGCCCUGUUUGCCAAGUCACCGUGACUGAGCCCCACAAGGACACCUAAGUUCCACAUGGCUGGCAGCACCUACCCCGCACGCCCUGCCCCUUGCUGGGCGGCCCCACGCCACACAAGUUAGACCCAGGAGCAGGUUCCCUGGGAGCAGGGCUGCCACCCGCUGGGUCCGAAGCCGCCUCCGCGUGCCUGCUGCCUUUGACCUCCUGGGGAGGCUGGCUUGAAUCUGAAAAGUCAGCCAGCUCUGACCCCAGCCAGACACGGGGGUGCUGCCAGGAGCUGCUCCCAGGCGAGUGGCCCAGCUUCUCUCAGGCACCAGGGGAUGGGACUCCUGGUGACCAGCUGGUCCCCAAAGCUGUGGCACCGUGCCUGCUGCUGCCGGCAAAGUCCCACGUGCAGCCUGUGGCAGCUGCCACCCUGUCCCUCCUGCCCCUCCCUCAUCAGGGGCCAGGGUGAAACCCCGCCGCCCUCUGCCUUCUCUCCACCUGCGGCUUCCCGGGCAGGGAGACCAUGGGCCCAGCUCCUGCUUCCUCCAUUCGUUCCACAGAUAGGGCCCGGGCCAGCAGCCCAGGCAUUUGGCUGGUGGGUCCACUGAGGCCUAGAAGCCCCCGGGACAGGAUAGGCCUGAGGCAGCUCAGGAGUGCCAAGCCGGGCCCACGUUCCCAGCCAACAGCGGCCCUUGGGGCUGCCCUUCCUCCCAGGUGUCCAGGCCCAACACAGAAGGCCUGAGCCUGCUGUGCCUCAGUUUCCCUACUCUGUAAACUGAGGCUGCUGCUCUCUUGGGGCCCUUCUAGCCCUGACCAAGGAGUGGGAGCUUUGUUCCCUUGGGAGUCCUGUCCAUGGGGACUAGCUGCACACAUGCCCCACACCGCCCUCCCACCUGGACUGUGUCCCGGUGGCACCAGGGUUGGGAGCAGGAGCCUUAGGACCCAUGCAGCGCCAGGCACAGCAUGGAGCGAGACAGUGGGCAGUGUGGUAAGUGCUGUGGGCACCACUGACCUGGAGGAGCCAUGACUCCCGGACCCUCGUGUCAAAGCUUCUGGCCUCAUUUGCUGGGAGGCUGGGAGGAGGCCGUCGUGCAUAACGGCAGCUUGUUGCCGGCCUUGGUGAGAAGGUGGUGAGUGCGCCAGCCAGCGUUAACCAUCAGUAACGGGAUGUGUGCAGACGGGCGUGGACCACAGCAGCCACAGGAGGGACCAGGUCACUGGAGGACAAACAUCCGUGACUGCACCUCCUGAUCCAUCACCCACGACGGCCACGGCGUCCCCUGCCAGCCACCGGCACAGCCAUGAGCACGGCUCUGGAGCAUGCGGUUGUCACGGGAUGGGCGACCAUGGAGCUGCCUCUCUCGGAGCAGAAAGCCCGCAGGUCCCCACAGGCGGGUGUGGGGAAGGGGGGGUCCCGGGUCCGACAGGCACCCCCUGAGCACCAGCCCCUCUGAGGGUGGCCGGAGGGCGCUGCGGCAGGUCCCCACACACCCAGCACACACUGUCCCACACACUGGAGGCACCUGCCAGGUUCUGACACCCUUCAAAUGUCUUCCCGGGGUUCUCACACCUGCUGAAGUCAGGACGCUCAGCCUGCUUUGCACGUGAGCAGCUGAGGCAGGUGAGUUGAGGGCAGGGGUGUGAAUCACAGGCUUGGGGCCAAAGUCCAAGGUCGUCUCCUCUGGCCCGCAAGCUCAGGCUCACACGGGGAGCAGCCAGGCUGGACUGGGUGCAGCUUACGGACAUAGCGCGUGCUGUGGGCGUCGGCCGCGGCUCCUCCAUGCAGCGCUGACACUGCUGUCUGCAGAUCGCACCCGGUCAAGAGGGAAUGGCCCAGGCAGGUGGGCAGGGCCACGGCUCGGCCAGGUAAGGCUGGGAGGGCCCAGGAUGGACGUGCAUUGAGCCAGGCAGGAGAUCUGCAGAAGCGGAGGGACGGGGAGGGUGUGCCAUGCAGAGGCCGCUCGGUCCUCAGGAGCUGGGCCUCACCCUGGGAGUCUCAAGGAGAGUGUCCCCUGGGCUUAGCCGGCAGCCAGGGCCAGCAUGUGAUCUGUGGCAGCCAGUCUCACGGGUGGCCUGGUUCUCAGUCUUGCUGAAUGGAGACCCCCAGCUCCUAGGGCAAGGGCAGGCGGGGCAGGGCCGUCCCGGUCAGCUGACAGGAACUGAGCUGAGAAGGCUGCAAGUCGCCGAGUCGCCCUAACAGCAGGGUGGUCCUGCGGGCAGUACUGAGCCCGCCCUGCUGGGCACCCCACAGCCCCUGCGGCUCCCCAGCUGCCACUGAGGCCCGGUGCCCUAUGAGGAGGCUCCCACCUGUGGGUGGCAGAAUGACGGCCCCGAAGGCCCCGCUUCCUCACCCUGGGACCUGGGAGUUCACACAGCAGCAGGGACCUGCAGCUGUGGACGGUCCAUCAGCUCCCUCAACAGGGAGCCUGCCCUGGGUGAUCCGCGAGGGCACAGGGAACCCCCAUCCUGCUAAGUGGAAGAGGGAAGCCAUGGCAGAGGUGAGCAUGAGGGGGACUGGCCGGCCACUGCUGGCUUUGUGAGGGACCCCCAGCCACGGAAACGCCUCCGGAAGCCCAAAGAGGCGGAAAAUGGAUUCUCCCAGGAGCCUCCAGAAGGAACCUUGGUGUUGGUGGAAUCGGAUGUGGGAGGACUCAGAUGUGGGAGGACACGCGGGUGACCUGUCUUGGGUCACGCUGGUUCCCAGUCCCCACACCAGCCGGCCUGGGCGGGAACCCUAAGAGGAAGGGAGGGGCCAACGCCGGGCUGUCCUGGAAACCGGCCUCGGGUGCCUCAGUCCCUGCGUCAGUGUGGGGUCUCGGUGGCCGCCCUGCUGGCUCCAGGCACUCCCUCCACCUUCCUGCCGCGUGGCUGGUCCUCCCUGGGCUGGGCUGAGGCACCCUCCAUGCCCACCCGUCACAGCCGGCAAGAGCUGGGGGCGUGAAGCCAGGUGGGUGCACCUGCACACCCUGGCAUCGCAGAGGAGGGAGACGCCACACCCUCAGUCCUCUCUGUGCCCACCCAGGCAGCCCAUCGUCAUUGGCUCGCAGGGCAUGCCCCCCAUUGACAGUCUGACCAGACACAACCAUUCAGUUACUGUACCACGGAGUCAGCAGUCUCCUUCAUUACCACCUGCCGGCCCUGCCCUGCAGCGCAGCGAAGCCCAUUAAGACAGCGGCAGCGCCAGCAGCACGUGGUGCCUUUAAUGCAUCAGCCGCGGGCCCAUGUUCCCAUCCCGAUGGGGAAGAGCCUCGUCUUAGCUCGAAAAAAGACGACACCUCACGCCGGCUGAAUGGGCCGCCCCCUGGGCGCACACACGCUGACAGGUGUGCACAUAGGCUCACAGCACACACAGACACAUAAAUGUCCACGAACAACACAGAUCUGGCCUCAGAGCCACACUCCAGGUGCAGCCGCCCUGGGCCCAGCAUCCAUGACAGCCACAGCAGGAUCAGAGCAGCCUCGAGGGCCGGUCGGGAGCCAGCAGAGCUGGCCCCAGGCUGAGCUUGGGGAGGUGGGCCCAGGCCCGGGACCCACGCUUUCUAAUCGGCCGGCGGAGUCCACGCAGCUCCUCCCAGUCUUCACGGAAGCCCACGGGUCCCCCUCCCGCUUCUGCUGUCCCCAGGAUAGUGAAAUCUACUAAUGUGGAUUAAGAACAUUUUUAAAAUAAAAAAACAUGUUAAGUAUUGAGGACAGAAGACAGAAGAUUACAGCCAACCAAUCCCAUGCACUUCCUGGCUCAGGUUCACGGAGCCCAAGCCCUCUGGCCUCCUAAGCCUCUGGGCUCUGGUACCAGGUGGACGCCUUCCCCGGCCCGUGGGGCUCUCUGCUCACGGGGUCCCCGAUGCCUGAGUGAUGUCGUGGGUUUAGGUUUCAGUGCCGGCACGUGUGGCCCACGGAACGCAGGCUCCUCCGUGAGGACGUUGUUGGCUCAUGUGGGGCUUUGCUGUCCCCUGUGUUGCCUGCCUUGCUCUGGUUGUCCUCAGGUCACUCUGUGGGGUGUGCACUGAGCCCAGCCAUUGGACCCUCCCCUCCAAGAGCAAAGCUGCAGUCGGCUGCAAGUGCAGCCUCUUUUGCAGAGCAGAAGAAUUUCUCCAGAAGAUAUUCCUGCUAGUGGAAUCACUGGAUCGUAGGCCCAGCUGUCUUCCACUUCCUCGAUUUCGCCUGAUGCCUUCCAAGGAGGCUGUGCACAGCGGGUGUGAGACACCCCAUCUCACCAACGGGCCAACAUCCCGACGGGAGACGUUGAGUUUUCACCACGGUGCUGAGUGUGAUGUGGAAUCUUCUUAUUGUAAUUUGCAUUUCCCUGAUUACGAGUUAGGUGGAACAUCUCGAAUAUGUUUCUGGGCCAUUUGAUUUUCCUGCAAGUCGCCUGUUUCAGUUCUUUGCCCAUUUCCUGUUGGGCUGGUGGAUAUUUUUCAUGACCAUACGUUGGUUACGUGGCUGGCCUUUGGCUUCAUUUGUUCUAUCAAAGCAUGUGCAGAAUUGUUAAAUUUUAAUGUAUUCAAAUGCAUUGAUCUCUUCUUUCUUAUAGUUUGAGCUUUUUGGGGUCUUGUCCUUAAAAACCCUUUCUUAACUCAAAGCUCUUCAAUAUGUUUUCACAUAUGCUCUUCUAAAAGUUACAAAGCUUUGCUUUUCCCACUGAAGCCGUUAAUUCAUUGGAAAUGCAUUUGUGUGUGGUAGGAAGUGCAGCCCUGGUUUUUCCCAUGUGGAAUUACUGAUUUUCCCAGCGCCGUUCACAGAGCCACCCACCUCUCGCCACCACGCUGCCCCUGUGGCCCCAGCGCUCCCUGCUCCAGACUCUGCCUGGUCCAAGACCCUGUCUCCAGGCUGCACUGGGCUCCAUCCCACCUCCCGUAGCUUCUCCCGAGGCCUGGAUGUUCGGCAGGACGGGGCACCCACUCCUGCCUCCUCCACAGCACGGUCUGAGCUGUUCCUGGCCAUUUACUCUCUUUUUGUGUGUGUGUGUUUGUUUGUUUGUUUUGAGACUGAGUCUCGCUGUCGCCCAGGCCAGAGUGCAGUGACACCAUCUCGGCUCACUGCAACCUCCGCCUCCCCAGUUCAAGC